CAAAGAUGAUUUUAUUUUUUUUGAAACUUUUUUUUUAAAAUUUUUUUUGCUUUUGGAAAACUGUAAAUCAAAAGUAGCUCUUCACUGUACUCAGGAUAUCUUGUAUUUAUUGCCAAAUGUUGGCAGUGCCACUGUAAUUUGGUGACAUGGAGUUUGGAUGUUACACAAGCAUAUCAUGCUCUCUAAGCCUGCUUCUGUUUGGUGACCUCAGUUAUUUAGUUAAUCGACAGCAAGAAGAAAAAAAAAAGCCCCUUCAUGGCACUUUGGGGAGUCCUUUUUACACUUGACAUAGAUUAGGUGACCAGGCAAGAGCAAAGGUUUGCAGUAUCUGAGGCUCAAGAACCAACAACUAAGAAGGGAUGGAAAGACAAGUACAAUGCUAGCUAGG